AGCAUCAUGAUUAUUAGACAUACAUUCAGGUGUAACCAGUUGAAGUGCAGUAGAGAGUUUCUAUCUGAGAAGCGCCUCAAGCAAUGCAUGAUCUAUGUUCCUUGAAAAAUAUAGAGAAGGUGAGUAUUGGAUAUAAAAGAAUUGAAAUAUAAGUAUUGGCUUGUCACCUCUCCAUCAAUGAAAGCAUGUCUGAUAGUGUCAUUUGUGGGGUUCCUGCAACAAUAACAAUUAAAAUCAUUAGAUUGAUUGUUAGCAUUGAAUCUGGAGAUUACCUCUUUAAACGACAGUUUGCCAAGAAAUAGCCUCCAAACUAAAAAGGAAUGAAAUUGUGCCAAAUUGUGUCAAUGUUUUGAUGAUGGAUCUGAUUUUUUCUCUGCCUAACAAUAUGCCAAGCAGAUUUAUUUGUGUAUCUUCCGUCACCAGUCUCCAUCCAUAUUGCAUCAUCUUUAUGGCUAUUGUUUCCAAUAUCCACUUGAUAUAUUGCUCCUCUUAGAUCCUUAGGAAUAUCAUUCUCAAUCUUCAUUCAGUUCCAUACUCCAUUUAUGAUGUAACUGCUCACAUCGUGUUUGCAAUUUCUACCAAUGUAGUAUCUCUGUUUUUCUUGUUCUUCCGUCUUUGACAGUUUCUCUGAGUACUUCUGCCUCUUAUUCUUUUGGUAUCCUUUGUGUUGUCAUUGACUUUGUUAUUGGAUUGUGCUCCGAUUUUCUUGUGAUUAUUAUUCAAUUUAGAGGAUUUGUCAAUCCUCUCACCUUGUUGUGACUCUAUCACGGUUGUUAAAUAGUCUGCAUGCUGCACAUUUUGCUUUAUCGUUUGAUCACACUUGAUAUCUACUACCAAGUGUGAUCAAGAUUGAUUUUUAAUAUGGGAAGGUAAACUGUUGGACAUGCUUAGUUCAUUGAUUUGAUCUAAUAUAUCAUUGUCUUCUUUUGAAACUUUUGUGGUCUCUACCUCUUUGUCAAUCCCGUUUUUACUGAUUUGGUGUUGUUCUUGCAAGAAAGAAUAGUUGUUUCUAGACGCUUCAGAAUUAGUCUCCACCUCAUUAUUGUUGUAGUGUAAUUUUUCCUCUUUGUAGCAACUAACAUUGGAACAAGUUACUUCUUUAUUGUUGAUCUCUUUUUUGUUGCUUUUAAUCUCAGUAUCUUCAACCUUAUUUAUGUUAAGGUCACUUUCCUCCACAAUAGACCUGCUAAGCUCGAGUUCCUUUUUUUCCCUUUUCUUUUUCUUCUUAUUUUCUGUAAUUUGCUCCAACGCUGGGUUGUAUAAGACUAUGUUUUUCUUUUUUUUUAGCUUUCUUGUUCUCUCCCUUCUUCUUCUUUUUGUUGUUGUUAAGCCUUUCUACUACUCUUAAACCAAUCUGCCCAUUAUCAGCCUCAUUAUCUUUACCAACAUUUUUAUUCUAUUCAAUAAUCUUGAUAUUUUCAGCAUUCUUUUCCUUGAUAUUACUAGACUCCAGUUCUUCAGUAUUUUGUUUUCCGUUAUCAUCAAGAUUGAUGGCAUUUCUUUCAAUCUCUUUAGCUUCAUUGGCUUUAUUUCUUUCAAGAACUCUGCAAUUCAUAACAUUGUGACCCAAUUUCUUACGGUGCUUGUAGUAUUUCAGAAUGUUUUUGUAUUCAAUUUUGUGAUAGUAUCCCUUUAAAGGGAUUCCCUCAUCUUCCAAACCUACCCAAAUUUGAUCAGGUAGUUUUUUCAGUAAAUUAACUUCAACACAUACCUUCACCAAGCUCGGUCUAGUCUUACCACUAGUGGCAGCAUCCAAACCCAAAGGAAUACCUAUGCUAGCAACAAUCUAUCUCAUAUAUUGCCAGGUGUGCAUAUGAAAAGGAAUUUCAGGAAGAAGAAUCCAUAUAAGGGCUAUGGGCAGAUCUUCAUCAGGUUUGAACUCCGGAGACUAUUUUUGAAGCCACAUUUCAGACCCCUCGAUCUCAAUUACACUUCGAAACCACGCCUUAUAGAAAUCAUCUUCAUUAGUGAAGUCUAUGAAAACAUUGAAUGUAUCAUAUACAUCAAUUUUAGCAGAACCUUUAAUAGGAAAAAGCUCUUUGAAUACUGACCUAAUUUUUUCAAUUUGGAAGUGAGGUUUUAAGAAUCUCCGGACAAUGGUGAGCUUGCAUUCUUCAGCCAUAACACCAUAGUAAUCCUUGGACUUAAAUAUCACUGUCGGAACUCCAUUAUGUGUUGCGUGUUUUGCAAUUACUAAUUCUCUAGGGUGUUUGAAGUUGGUUGUUGCAGGGGUAGCAAUUGUCAAAACUUUGGUCGCAUACGAUGUUUUCUCUAUGUUUCCUUCCACCGCUUGCUUUCCAUUGUAAGUUGGAUCUGUAAUUUCAGUAGGAAAAACAACAGGACCACUAUAUAACGGCGCCAUGCAUCGCAGCUAGGCAAAAAUAGUCCUAAUUGUUACCGUUAUACCAACUAUUAUAUGUACGAAUAGAAAAUAAGAAUAAGAGGGAACAAACAAGAAUCUGUACAAAAACUCCAGCCAGAUGCUUUGUCUACCCAAAAGUAUGGUACAUAUGCCAUCAGGAUUAUUGAGAUUCCUUGGAACAUUGGGGGAACAGUGACAAUUGCCUAGAUUUCAGUAAGAGUUGGUGAUCUAGUGGUCACUCCCUUUAAACAAUCUAGAAAAUGUUUUGCACGGGCUGCUCUAAACCAUUUUACUGAUGUUGAGAGAAUCUGUAGUAUCGUUUUGUUCUUUGUGUUUUGGAGUUAUACCAAGAUUCUAGAGUAUUUUGGUAUUAUCUAGUUUUGUUGGUUUAUCAUUUCUCCAGAUGUUUAAGGCCAAAUACAUUAUGAUUUAUUCAUAAAUCAAUUUCCCUUGAUAAUUUUGUAUAGCUGAAUUAGUUCACUAGCUGAUAAACAAUUUUCUUGAGCCAAGUGUCCUAUUGGAAAAAACCUCUCUACCCCACAAAGGUAGGAGUAAAGUAUGUGUAACCUCACCCUCCCCAUACCCCACUUGUGGGAUUAUAUUGGGUAUGUUUUUGAACGAGUUUUCUUGAUUAUGUUCUUGUUAGCUGCAUCUGUGUAGCUUCUCUGUUUGCAAUUAUUUGAAUCUCUAUAAUGCUUGUACUAUGGGGUAGUGACUGAUAAGUCACAAUAUGCUUAGGGUUAUAUUUGUAUACAUAUCAUAUUUUACUAGUUUCCAUUAGUACGAUAACCCCCUCCCCCCUGUUAUGUGCCAAUCAUGUUCAUCAAUGUUUACUUCCCUCACCGUGCUUCAUCUUCUCCUUUGUUUUUAACAAUCACAUUCAAUAAAAGCCAUAAUAUAUCAAUAUAGUGUCUGAGAAGACUUUCCCUGUAGAGAGAUUGAACGGAAUGAACAAUGUGGAUAUCUUUCCUUCGAAUAUAUUGUGAUCAUAGCCCCUGACCCUUUUCUCUGGUGCGCAAAAUGUUGUAGUUGCAGCAUCUGCCAGGUUUCAUCUACCAUGUUGUCAAGUUUUGGAGAUGUUGAAGGUAUCAGCCAUGGAAUUUCUUAAUCGAAUAGUGUCAUAUGUUGGUGGUUUUCAAGUCCUGUUUGCUGAUAAAUCUUUGGUUCAAAUGUAUCAAAUGGAUUUACAUAUGCACUGUAUGAUAUUGAAAUCUACAUGAAGGUAGAAUACAAUAGAAGGCCAUGAAAGGAAAUAAUGCUAAAUCUUUUUGUAAAUUUAUGUUUAUAAUUUUUAUUAUUGUAGGGAAAUGUAGGCUUCAAUAACAAAAGUCUAGCAAGCCAUUGUUGCUACAGAUUGUAUUCGCAAGGUAACAUUUGCAAUAUCCAAGUAUUUCUUUUAUAUUCAGUUAAAGAAAGGAGUGAAAGGAUUUUAAUAAGGAUUUAAUGUAUAUUUUCUUUUUUUAAAUGGUUGAACAUUUAAUUUGUCUUACGUAGGUUUCCAUUUUCAGAUUUUGGGAUCGGACAUCAGCGGUGGUACUAUGGUGGGAGAUGAUACGUCAAUGGAUAUUAAAAAUGUGGCCACAAGUCAAUUCAAUCAAUUGAAAUUCAUGCAAACUUUUUGAAUAUUACAAUGUUAAAUUUAUAUUUUAAUUUGUGGAAUUCAUUGCUAGUGC
rnacentral:lncRNA from 1 species